CCUACGGGUGGCAGCAGUGAGGACUAUUGGUCAAUGGUCGGGAGACUGAACCAGCCAAGCCGCGUGAGGGAUGAAGGUACAGAGUAUCGUAAACCUCUUUUGUCAGGGAACAAAGGCGGGGACGUGUCCCCGGAUGAGUGUACCUGAAGAAAAAGCAUCGGCUAACUCCGUGCCAGCAGCCGCGGUAAUAGGGCGGAUGCGAGCGUUAUCCGGAUUUCUUGGGUUAAAGGGGGGCGCAGGGGGUCUGUUAAGUCAGCGGGCAAAGCCCGGGGCUCAACCCCGGCCCGCCGUUGAAACUGGCAGUAUCGAGUGGGAGAGAAGUAUGCGGAAUGCGCGGUGUAGCGGUGAAAUGCAUAGAUAUCGCGCAGAACUCCGAUUGCGAAGGCAGCAUGCCGGCUCCACACUGACGCUGAGGCACGAAAGCGUGGGUAGCGAACAGGAUUAGAUACCCGAGUAGUC
rnacentral:rRNA from 1 species